UGCAUUUGAAUUUGGAAUGGUGAUUGUGUUGCAGAGAAGAGAUAAAGGGAUGGGAGAGAAGGCGCACGAUAGGUGUUGGUGGGUUAGGUAGCAAACUCUGCCCCCUCCUUCCUAGAUUCCCCCAUCUCUCUCACAAUUAUUAUUCCAUUAUAUUUUUCCAUCUCAUCUCACUUCUUACUAACCCUACUACUCAUUUUUCAAUUUAAACUUUAAUAACCACCUUUUCUAUUUUUACUAUCUUAUCAUUCCUUCAUCAUUCCAUGCCUUAGUUUUCCUUAUUUUUCUUUGAUUGAAAACAACAACAAUUUCCAAACCUUGAUCAUGAGACACUUAAAUUUAAUCAAUAUGACUAUAAGCAAUUAAACUUUAUGCGUGUGUGAAAUUAGACUUUAUGAUUAAUUAAGGUUGAUGAUCAGGAUUUCAAUUAGAGUUUAUAAUCUUGAAUAUGCAUCCGAAUACAUAUUAUUGUGCCUAUUUUGAUGAAUUGCUAUAUUAAGAUGAAGUCUCAAAAUAUGAUUUAUGAUCCCAUGAAUUAUUUAAUUAUAUUGAGACAGAGCGCAUGAGUCAUACAUGAUUUUCUUGGAUACUCAGCUGAAAGUUAGCGGAGAAAGUUAUCAAUGGACUCAGAUUGUCAGUUGAGAGUUAGCUGAGAAAAAGUUAUCAGUUGAUUAAGUCAUGUGAAUGAUUUUGUGCAUCUCUUUUGAUGGAUUCGACUCUAUGAAGUAGAGGCUUCAAAGCUCAAUGACUGAUUUAUGACACAAAAUUAACGAAUAAAACAUCUAUGAACUAUCUCAAAUAUAGUACUCCCUCCGUCCCAGCUUUUAGUAUCCAACUUUCAUUUUUUGGCUGUCUCACAUUUUAGUAUCUACUUCUAUUUUUGGUAAAAGUAGCUGGGGCCCUUACUCCACUUUAAUUAUUUUAACUCUCACAUAAAAUGUGGGACCCUUAUUCCACUCACAACACAUCAAUCACUUUAUUAAAACUCGUGCCGUUCUCAACUGGAUUAUAAUACCCGGGCUUUUGAUGACGUGUUUAGUUGCUUGAGUUUGAGUAAUUAGGGUAUCCUUUGUUUGAUUACUUGUACAGAGAUGAGGAGUUAUAUGAAGUUUUCUUGUUUUUUUUUUAAAAGAUGUUGAGAUGUUCUUUUGAUGAUGUUUGGAUGAUGUGGGAUUUUAUAUCCGUAAUUGAGUUUGAGUAUUUGAAUAAUUCGAGAUAAUUAUUUGAAUGAGAACGGUGAACUCGGAAGUGAAAUCUGAGUCCGUUAAGACGUUUUUGAAAUUUUUGACUUUUUGACGAUGAAUAGUAAAAAUACUGCUAUUUCGUCUGUUUGUCGACUUUCAAAAUCUUACGUGCACGUCGUCGAGAAAUAUUCUUAGUUUUUCGAUACGAGUCCAAUAAUGAAAGUUUUUAUUUUUGGACGACGAGUGAAUAGUAAACCGGGAUUUCUCGAUAAACGAACCGAGCUCGUUUAUCAGAAUUUCGAGAACGAGCUUGCGUUUUCUAUAUUUAUAUGGAAUUACGAGUGUAAUGAAAGUGAGUAGAGGUUGAGAGGGCGAGUAACGAAGAGUAUGGGUUGUUAGUCGUUAAAACGAGACGAGACGAGACGAGACGAGACGAGACGAGAUAUUUAACGACUAAAUAUCUAACCCUACCCCACCAAAACCACCCCCCAACCGCCCAAGUUCAGUCAAACACUCACUAACUCACGCUAUAUCAGCCCACACCACACACACAACUCACAUAUUCACACACACAACACCUAAAACACACACUACACACGCCAUUUUCCAUUUAAGCUUGGACGGAGCUUUUGACCUCCGAUUUGAGCACCGAGACGAGCGCCGAUCAUCUUUUCGAUCAUGUAUCUAAGUAGGUCCUUUUGGGAAGUAACGACUUGAGGGAGAGAGUGACGUUACUCAUUGAUACAGAGACACAACGAGGUUGAGCUGAUGUGAUGAUGGUGCUGCAAUGAGCGGAGUCUCCAGGGUUGUUAAUAAAUAGUUAACCUGUCUAGAAUAUGUCUUCAUACAUAUGUCUAGCUACUUUCCGCUGCAAGAUGUUGUUGAUGUUAUAGUAUGUUAUGUCAUACUUUGAGUCUUAAGAGAAUGGUUUCAUACGAUGUAUAACUUGAUUAAUGAUAUUAAUUAAGUUUUAUGCUGUCUUUCA